GACGAACGCUGGCGGCGUGCUUAACACAUGCAAGUCGAACGGAAAGGCCCUGCUUUUGUGGGGUGCUCGAGUGGCGAACGGGUGAGUAACACGUGAGUAACCUGCCCUUGACUUUGGGAUAACUUCAGGAAACUGGGGCUAAUACCGGAUAGGAGUUCCUGCUGCAUGGUGGGGGUUGGAAAGUUUCGGCGGUUGGGGAUGGACUCGCGGCUUAUGAGAUUGUUGGUGGGGUAGUGGCUUACCAAGGCUUUGACGGGUAGCCGGCCUGAGAGGGUGACCGGCCACAUUGGGACUGAGAUACGGCCCAGACUCCUACGGGAGGCAGCAGUGGGGAAUAUUGCACAAUGGGCGGAAGCCUGAUGCAGCAACGCCGCGUGCGGGAUGACGGCCUUCGGGUUGUAAACCGCUUUCGCCUGUGACGAAGCGUGAGUGACGGUAAUGGGUAAAGAAGCACCGGCUAACUACGUG
rnacentral:rRNA from 1 species